rnacentral:lncRNA from 1 species
GUACCGGUACAGCCACUAAGCUUGUACCGGUACAGCAAGCAGAGAAUGCUGCAGUUUUGCAAAUUUCUUCGCUAUAAGCUGCCCUCGCGUCGCACGGAGUCCGUUUUACGUCUAUUUGACGCCAACGCGACUCGGGCUUGUCCCGACACUCUCCAGAGCUGUCGACAAGCCUCCACAGACAAACACCAGGGUUCUCACAAUUGCAAUGUUAUUUAUUUUACAAAAUAAAAACAAUCUAAU